GGUGCUGGAACUUCGUCUCUGCAAGGCUUUGAUUGAGAACCGAACCUACUUCUUAGAGGACUGUCCUCUCAAACUGUAUAAGAUGAGAGGCCCUGGCCAAGCUGAACUUAAGCCUCAACCAUAAACCGUCCAAUUCUGACUUCAUCUUAGGAGCUUCAAAAGUUUCUCUACAAAUACCACUCCCCAUAAGCAGGGAAGGAACUAACCAAAAAGCACUCAACAUCAAAGAGGAUUAGCUUAAGUAAUGGCAAAGUUUUCAUGUACCUCCUCCUUCAUUCUUGCCAUCAUCCUUGUCUUGUUAGUUUCAUUGUUAAUGAUGAUGAAAGUAUACACACAGCUGAAUUGCGUAUCUUUAUUCGAUCCAAAUGGCUGCAAUCUCUCGAUUUGUGUGCGACAAGAAAUUUGGUGGGGUGGGGUUUUGUUGUUCACUAGCUUGUACUUAAUGUGGUUGACUACAUGGAGAUUCCAAGCAAGCAUGAACCUGAGGAUCCAUGCAAAAAUAUUGACGGGGUAUGACUAAUUAUAAUAAGUGCCAGCUGUCAACCUGACACACCACUACAAAUAAGCCACAUGGUUAUAACGACAGACUAUAAUUGAUGUUGUAGUCUCUCUCUACAUGUAUAUUUGAUGUUGUCAAUAAAUAAAGUAUUAUUGGGUUUUUUA